CCCACCGCCUUAAUUCACCACUUCUCAUUCACUCGCUCUUGGGAUUUUCCUCCCAACAUUGUAUUUAUAUUUUUGGGGAAUAUUAUGUGUUUAUUAGAGAGGUAGAGGAGAAAAGUGAGAGUAUGAGUGAGGAGUGAGAGCGUUCACUAGUGAGGGAAGGUGAGGCGUCGACGGCUGGUCCCUGCUGACAAUGUCAAAAUUAAGUGGUUGGCGCUAUCAUGUAUUCAUCGGAGGUCUGGUGGGAUUCAUCGGUGCUGCCCUCUACCCUAUCAUUAUCUACCCAAUGAUGAAUAUCGAUGCUUAUAAUAUGAAGGUAUGGACUGACCCAUUUGGAAGAAAAUCUUAAUACUGUAGUCUAUAUUUAACAAGAGUUGAGUGUAUAAAUAGUUCAGUAAUAUUGACGUGCUUGUUCUAUAGAUUAAAUAAACUUGCUGAUAUUUU